UCAAAUUGUGAUCAUCCCAAUCUCAGCCUCUAAAGUAGCUAGGAUUACAGGCAUGAGCUGCCGUGGCCAACCUCGUCUGUUUUCUUAAGCAUAGCUGAAGACACCUUGAAAAUGUUUGUGAAAAAGGACAGUAGAGUGAAAAGCGCAGCUGCAACCAACCUCUCCUUCCUGUAUUAUCUGGUAUACAAGUCUAUGAUGGAAUGGAGUUCUGGAGUGUUAAAAGUCCUUUUUUCUACCCAAGAGAGAAACUCUGCUAGACGCUACCUUGAAUCUUCCUGAGGUGUUUAGAAAAGAAUUACAUGACAGUUCAGGAGAUAAAUCCCAGGCAUUCCAAUAUUACUACGAGGUAACUACCAAAAAGCUUUAGACACUUAUAAAGAUAUUCACAGAAAAUUUCCAGAAAAUGUUGAAUGUCUGCGUUUCUUAGUUCAUCUCUGCACAGAUAUGGGAUUGAAAUUUCAAGAAUAUGCCACAAAACUCAAGAGGGUGGAAAAAAUGAAAGAAAUAAGGGAACAGCUUAAUUAAAAUGGGAAUGAAAACAGUGAUAUCAGAGAAAAGUCAGCAGAGCUCUGGAUAAUUCAUUUCAUGGAUCAUCGUGACUUGCAAACAUCAUCCUUGGACUAUCUACCAUUUGGGAGCAGCACGCCCACACCACAAUUUGAGACAGAGAGGACAAAAAUUUAAAACAGACUUGGGAGUUCUUUCUUCUAUUUGUGCUGUCUUAUGCCUUAAGGAACAUUGCUGAAAGGCAACCAUGUGCUGUCCCUACAUUGACUUGAUUCUUUGUUAGAUAAGUCUAUUUUAGUUUUCAAAUUUGUCCUACUGUACAUCUUUUGCUCUAGAGUGUGGUCCUUCUUUGGUGCGGCUUUCCUGGAGUCUCCGUGGAGAUGUGCUGACCUUCAGUGAGAUAUCUUCCCUCUGUGUGGGCUGGAAGUCCUGAUCUGUUGACACUGCACAGCCUUCGGUCUUAUCAUUUAAUGUCUUGCUCUUACAUUGAAACUGGAGUUUUGGACCUAUGACCUAGACUCCUGGAAUUCCAUGUGUCAGGCCUGGCCAUUUGACCCUAUACACCAAAUUAGCAGGCAUGGUGAAGACAGAAAAAGAUUUAUUACACAUCUCAGGCCAUGCUGUGGGAAAGUGCAGAGAAAUCACGCAGUCCAUCGUUAGCCAUCUUUGGGGUACAGACAUGAGUUUUCACUUUAAAUAGUCAAAGAAUUACACAAAGUAUGCAUAGUUAGGCAGUCCCAGUCACAAGUGUGGUCUGGUUGGUGGUAAUCUCAAUCCUUGAUCCAGGAGGUGUUUGAGAGGAGUUGUUGCCUGAAGUCAUCAUCACCAGGAGAUGGUCCACCCUGAGAAGGCUCUGCUGUUAGGGCUACUUUUCUUCACUUGUCAUAAAGAUGUUAUCAGUUCUGUCACUCCUGGAAUGCAAAGUGCCUGCAUACAGAAUGGGCUAGUGCAAAGACAGAUUCAAAUGAAGGAGAGAUGCCAUGCUUUUCUCCUUGUUUUUAGUUAAUUUGUGUGCCCUUGGAGGUUUUCAACAAAACAGUUUAAGCAUCUCUUACAACAUGAAGUGACUAGACCUAAUGGAAUCUAAUGUGUGCUUGCAGUGAAACCUCUACUAAGGACUUACAAUGCAUUACCUGCAGAUUCUGCCUUUCCUUUACCCUGAGCUGCUCUGUCUUCUUUGAUACCCUGCCUAGAGAAUUCCAACUCCUCGAGAGCUCAGCGAUUUGAUCUCUGCUCCAUCAACUCUUCAUGACAACUUCUAGGUUUGGCUUCUCUUUUCUGCUCAGCAGCAAGAAGUCCUUAGAAAGAAAUUGGGGACUAGGGAGUGAUCUUGGAGCUUGCCUGAUGUGUUAUUCUUUUCUCUAGAAUUAUAUUCAUGUACUGAUUAUUUCUCAAAGUAUGAAUAAUGUUACCUGAUGUAUUUUGUCUGCUUUGUUGUUAUUUUGUUAUGUUUUGUUUUUUGAAAAAAUUCUGGUGUGUAAGCCCGGCUGAACUGGAACUUCUUAGGUAGUCCUGGUUGGUCUCAAACUCAGGUUCUUCUGCAUCAGCCUCAUGCAUCCUGAGAUCACAAGUUCGCCUAUAUGCCUGGCUUUGCUGUUUCCUUUUAAUAGUUGUUUUCAUUGACUCUAGUGCCAUUUAUUUUAUUGUUUCUGGAGGCAGCAACAACAAUGAUCUUUAAGAAAAAUAAUUCCCUAGGUAGAUGAAAAGCAAGGAUGGUUAAAGACUUGAACAGCUAGUAUUUUUGCUUAGUCUAGAUGACCUCAGGUGUCACAGCAGAAACUGAAUUGGCAGUAAUGCAGGAAAACAGCUAGUAAAUUUUGAGAGUUACCUAGUCUCUCAAAGAACAAUUUUUUCUUUGUUAAAAUAAGAAACACUGUGCAUAUUUCUCUGAAUUAGUAUGAUCAUCCAUAGAGAAAGUGAGGGCCUGGGAACAUGCCUCAGUGGUAGAGCACUUGCCCAGGAAACUCAAGUCCCGUCCCUAGGGUCUGUCUCUCCCCUAUAAAAACAGAGAAAGUGUUCUUUAAAAUGCGUAAUGUUUUUCCCUGUGUAAUAGUUUCUAAACAAAUGUUAGUGGUUUCGUUGAGACUUUCACCUUCUUGCUGCAGUUUUGCAGCCAACACACAGAACUAAAUAAAUAAGCUCAAAAUGGAAUAAAAUACUGUGAAAGGAUCAGAUGCUGUGGAAAUGACAAAGAUAACAAUCUAUGAACUCUUGCAUUCAUUUUUAAAAAUUCAGUUCAGAAAUUGAUGAAAAGAAGGUGGAAUUCUUGUGUCACUGAGAUUAAGAAUUUGUAGCUGCCCAAGCAGGACAAUUAAAAUCUCACAGUAAUAUGAAUAAAGUAAAAUGAUAGCAGUAUGAGUCCAUGUACAGAUACUGUUAGAAACCAUGUUUUGAAAGAUCAAGCCAUAUAUAGUGGCUGGCUGGACCCUGGUGGGAUUCUAAUGAAAUAGGAGCAGGUCAAGUGAAGGAAGUGUCUGCCUAUGUUGUAGGUUCAGAAUGGUGGUUUAUGUGUGGAUCUCUGAACCCCAUUGUUGUGUACAUCAAGUUCAUAUCAUUAGAUGUAUUAUAAUGCUUUGGUGGCUAUUUUCCAAGGAUUUGAAUGAGGUGUGAAUGAGGCCCUUCAUAGCUUGUUUUAGAAAAUUCUGACCAGUCUAUGUGUUAAUGAUGCCGGUGCAGUCUGUGAUCAGAAGACUUCCAAAUUAUUUGUGUCCAGUGGGGAAGAAUCCAUGGCAAGACAUGUGGGUGUAAAUGCAGUUUAUUAAAAGGUAGGGAAGGGAAAUACAAGAGGGAGCAUGGUGGUCCCAGGUGGCCUCUGAAGGCUGAGAGAGCAUGCUUCUCUUCCCCAGGUGCUUUUAAAACCUGUGCUAACCUAUGGGCAGGGAGGAACCCAGUGAUUCCCCUCCAGUAAUCAAUGAGUGGGGAGGGACGUGGGCAGUUCCCGGCCAGGUGAAGUAGAUCCCUGACAGGGCAUGAUUAAUCUGAGUUGUAAUAUUUUUCUGUGAGUCCAGAACUUUCCCUAAUUUUACUUUACCUCAAAUAUCCCCUGAGAGACAAGAGCCCCCCAAAAAUCUUUUUGAGAUUGCUUAGGGGCUGGAAUUGUCAUUUAAAGUAUGCAGAUUCUUUGGCCUAAUUUGAACUUUUUGAGGUUUAAUCCUUUUUUCAUCCAUAAUAUAAUCUAGAUAUUGGAACAGAGGAACAGUUAGUAUUUUCUACAGGGCAAUUUGUAAAUCAGCAUUAAUUAAUUGGUUUUGCAGGUGCAUAUAAAUUUUGGUGAGAUUUUCAUGAUGUUCUGCUGCUGGUAAUAUAUCAUCCAUAUAAUGGAUAAUAUUUGCUUCAGGGAGCAAUAAUGGGGUAGGUGGUAUGGCAGUAUCAACAUAACUUUGACAUACAGUGGGGCUAUUCCUCACCCCCUGUGUGAGAUGUAACCAUUGAUAGCACUUCACUGGCUCCUUAUGAUCAAGAGUUGGUACACUAGUGGCAGUUUUUUCCUUAUCCUCUUCACAUAAUGGUAUAGUGAAAAAACAGUCUUUCAAAUCCAUAGCAAGAGACCAAUGCAUAUGGAUGGCACUUGGAGUGGGUAAUCCUGGUUGCAAGGGCCCCAUGGGCUGCAUAACUUUGUUGAUAGCUCUUAAAUCUUGUAGCAGCCUCCAUUUUCCUGACUUCUUUGGGACGGUAAGAUGGGAGUAUUCUAUGGACUGGUGGUAGGUUCAGUAUGUCCUGCAUCCAAUUGUUGUUGCACCACUUCUUGUAAAUGUUGUAAUUUCUUCCCAGUUAUAGGCUGCUGUUCCACACACACAGGUUCUUUAGUUGGCCAUUUUAUGGCCAAGGCUUUGCAGGUGGAGUGGAGGUUAACAGUGGCCAGUAUGCUCAAUUUGAAUCAUAAGAAAUCCCUUUUCCAGUAAUUUUUCUUUUAACUGUGAUUGCCAAAGGAUUGCUCUGUAAGUUUUUUCCUAAUCCUAGUCCUUUUGGUAACUCAUCCGUUAUAUAAUUCAUUUUCCUAAGGAGCCAUUGUCCAUACUUAUCUUUACAUUAAUUUCCUUCAUGAUAUGCCCUCCCCAUAUAUUAAAUGGUGUAUCUGCAACAUAAGGCUGAAACACUCCUUUUUUGCUUCACCGUCUGACCAUAGUAAAAAUUCAUCACUUUGGCUGACCCAUCCUGGCAUUCCUAGCUCCACUAGGUUAGACUGGUUGCUUUAAAGGCCACUUUGCAGACCAAAGUCCUCUGGCCAAAACUGUAUAUCCCCACCAGUACCAAGCAGUCCCAUGAAUGCUUUUUCAUUAAUUUCAAUAGUUAGCAUGGUUUGUCUGCAUUCACUGACUGUGUGCAGAAGGCAUGUUUGGAACCCAUACUCCCAAAUCCCCCUAUACAUUGUUGCUGUUUGAUUUAAAGGUUGAUGCAGCAACCAGAGUAGUUGAGCUAUAGAUUGUCCUU